AUACGUAGGUGGCAAGCGUUGUCCGGAUUUACUGGGCGUAAGGGGAGCGUAGGUGGAUAUUUAAGUGGGAUGUGAAAUACUCGGGCUUAACCUGGGUGCUGCAUUCCAAACUGGAUAUCUAGAGUGCAGGAGAGGAAAGGAGAAUUCCUAGUGUAGCGGUGAAAUGCGUAGAGAUUAGGAAGAAUACCAGUGGCGAAGGCGCCUUUCUGGACUGUAACUGACACUGAGGCUCGAAAGCGUGGGGAGC
rnacentral:rRNA from 1 species